GACGAACGCUGGCGGCGUGCUUAACACAUGCAAGUCGAACGGAAAGGCCCUGCUUUUGUGGGGUGCUCGAGUGGCGAACGGGUGAGUAACACGUGAGUAACCUGCCCUUGACUUUGGGAUAACUUCAGGAAACUGGGGCUAAUACCGGAUAGGAGCUCCUGCUGCAUGGUGGGGGUUGGAAAGUUUCGGCGGUUGGGGAUGGACUCGCGGCUUAUCAGCUUGUUGGUGGGGUAGUGGCUUACCAAGGCUUUGACGGGUAGCCGGCCUGAGGGGGUGACCGGCCAGAUUGGGAUUGUAAUGGGGCCAGGAGUCCUGCGGGAGGCAGAAGGGGGGAAAGUUGCACAAUGGGCGGAAGCGUGAUGCAGCAAGGCCGCGUGCGGGAUAACGGCUGUCGGGUUGUAAACCGCUAUGGCCUGUGAAGAGGGGUGAGUGAGGCGAAUGGGUAAAAGAAAACCGGCUAAAAACAUG
rnacentral:rRNA from 1 species